rnacentral:rRNA from 1 species
UGGGGAAUUUUGGACAAUGGGGGAAACCCUGAUCCAGCCAUCCCGCGUGUGCGAUGAAGGCCUUCGGGUUGUAAAGCACUUUUGGCAGGAAAGAAACGUCAUGGGUUAAUACCCCGUGAAACUGACGGUACCUGCAGAAUAAGCACCGGCUAACUACGUGCCAGCAGCCGCGGUAAUACGUAGGGUGCAAGCGUUAAUCGGAAUUACUGGGCGUAAAGCGUGCGCAGGCGGUUCGGAAAGAAAGAUGUGAAAUCCCAGAGCUCAACUUUGGAACUGCAUUAUUAACUACCGGGCUAGAGUGUGUCAGAGGGAGGUGGAAUUCCGCGUGUAGCAGUGAAAUGCGUAGAUAUGCGGAGGAACACCGAUGACGAAGGCAGCCUCCUGGGAUAACACUGACGCUCAUGCACGAAAGCGUGGGGAGCAAACAGG